CAGCCCCGUGUCCCUUGACCAAGCUGGCUAGGUAUAUAGUUCAGUAGAGGGGGUACUGAGCUGGGCCCUGGGUCACGUGGACACGAGUCUCCCUGAUUUCUUCCACCUCCCUUUCAGAAUACCCGCGAGCCGGGGGAUAUUAUUAAGUAACGUUGAAUUUGCUGGAAUUAGCAUACUAGACCUGAAGAGUGAGCUUCGGGUUGGCUCAUGAGGUUUUCCCACCACAAACAAAGGCCACAAUGGCUU